rnacentral:rRNA from 1 species
UAAACUUACUGCUACUUUUAAUCAAAUUUACACAUGCAAGCAUCCACACACCAGUGAAAUACGCCCUAACACAGUAUAAAUGGAGCAGGUAUCAGGCACAACCACCAGCCAAAAACACCAAGCUUUGCCACACCCACACGGGCCCUCAGCAGUGAUAAACAUUAAGCAAUAAGCGAACACACCAAACUAAAGCUUGACUUAGUUAUGAUUAACAGGGCCGGUAAACCUCGUGCCAGCCACCGCGGUUACACGGCGGGCCCAAAGCAGCAGACUCUCGGCGUAAAUAGUGGCCAGAAUAAUUACCCCCACAUUAAAAACUAAACCAUACCCUAACCGUAAAACACAGGCUAAAUGAAAUCAAGCACUUUUAAUAACAGGUAAUUUGACCCACGAAAACUAAGAAACAAACUAGGAUUAGAUACCCUACUAUGCUUAGUCGUUAAUAUGAUAUUAUAGUACUAAAAUAUCCGCCAGAAAACUACGAGCGAAAAGCUUAAAACUCAAAGGACUUGGCGGUGCUCCAUACCGACUUAGAGGAGCCUGUCCUAUAAUCGAUACCCCACGCUAAACCC